rnacentral:tRNA from 17 species
GGGCGAAUGGUCUAGUGGUAUGAUUCCUCGUUUGGGUCGAGGAGGUCCGGGGUUCAAUUCCCCGUUUGCCCC